UUGACCAGCGGCCAUUGUUUCCUGUGUAUGAUGGAGAAUUCAAUGUACAGACUGACUCAUCUAUGCCUCUUGGCAGAAACAGAAUGUUGUCUAGAUUUCUGCAAACUGCUACCCCAGCUCUUGACUUUAACCCACAAUAUGCCCAGCAACCGAGCCUUUUUGCUGCAAAUAACACAGGGGAGGUAACCUCAAAUGGAAAUAAUGCUCUGGAGUAUUCAGGGGAGGUCACUGAUGCAACUUUACCUCCUUUGAGGAGAGCUCAAACUCCAGGACCUAGUAGUACUCAGGCUAGAACUAGACCUCUUCGGAGCAAUGAAGAUUCCAAACCGGGCCCUAUCCGCAGAGAAUGGGGCCAACCUGUCAUGUUUGAUUGAUACACUCCGGGACGAAUAGCUGUUUCCAUUUCCUUGACACUGAGAUGACUACCUGACCAUAUUUAAAUAAAAUGAUCAAUAUAUAUUAGACUAUAGAUUUGUGUGUUUUUUAAUGACUUUUGUUGGUGUAUAGUUAACCACUGCAUUUAAUCUGUUGUGCAAAAACCAUAAGUGACUAAAAUGCUGAAUGGAUACAGAUGUUUGUAUAUUUGAACAACAUUUAUAAUUAGUAAAAUACCAUUUAUAAUUAAUAAAGACCAAACAAUUGCAUGUGCACACUGAUCAGAAAAAUUCCAAAUAAAUGUUAUUCAUCUUGUAAA